GUGAAUCAUCAAAUUUUUGAACGCAAAUUGCACUCUCUGGUAUUCCGGAGAGUAUGCCUGUUUGAGGGUCAGUUUAAAUAAAAAUCGGUGUGGUUGCUGCCUUUCGUGGUAACGCCCCGGUUUUGGUUCGUCUUGCCUUCGGUUAAGUGACCUAAAAUUUUGCAUGAUUUUUUUCGAACGUAUUUAAAUGUUUUUCCUUACGUUUGCGUUAUCGAUUACUAGGUUUGUUCUUC
rnacentral:misc_RNA from 1 species